AUGAUGCUGAAGUGGUUCAGCACCUUGUUCCUCCUGGGGGGGGGACACAGGGGGGACGGCGUCACCACCAGGCCCCCCCCCGGGGGGUCCCGGCGUCCCCCCCCCAGGCCCCGCCGACCUCUCCCACUCCUCCUCGGCCUCCUCGGCCGUGAGCGUGCGGUGCUUGGCCACGGGGGUGAAGUUGUACCAGUGCUGCACCGGGAAGGCCUCGAAGGCGCCGUCGGGGCACUGCGUGAAGAUGUAGUAGGAGGCGUUCUCCGUCACGCCGCCCUUCUUCACCCCCUUGUACCUGCGGAGAGGGGGGGGGCACCGGGAUGGGUCCUGUCCCCAAAGCAGGGGGGGGCACCGGGAUCGGCCCCGUCCCCGAUGGGGGAACCGGGAUCGGUCCUGUCCCCAGUGGGGCAUCAGGAUCGGCCCCAUCCCCAUCCUGGGGCACUGGGAUCAGGAUCAUCCUGUCCCCGUCCCCUGUCCCUGUUCCUGUUCCUGUUCCCAUCCCCAUCCCCACUGGGGGGCACUGGGAUCAGCCCCGUCCCCGUCCCCAUCCCCAGUAGGGGGCACCAGGAUCGGCCCCAUCCCCAGUGGGGCAUCAGGAUCAGCCCCGUCCCCAUCCUGGGGCACUGGGAUCGGGAUCGUCCUGUCCCCGUCCCCAUCCCCUGUCCCUGUUCCUGUUCCCAUCCCCACUGGGGGGCACUGGGAUCGGCCCUGUCCCCAUUGGGGGCACUGGGAUCAGCCCCGCACCCGAUGGGGGCACCGGGAUCGGCCCCGUCCCUGUCCCCAUCCCCACUGGGGGGCACCAGGAUCAGGAUCGUCCUGUCCCCAUCCCAAUCCCCAUCCCCUGUCCCUGUUCCCAUCCCCAUCCCCACUGGGGGGCACUGGGAUCGGUCCUGUCCCUGUCCCCAUCCCCACUUGGGGGGCACUGGGAUCAUCCCGUCCCUGUCCCCAUCCCCACUGGGGGGCACUGGGAUCGGGCUCUUCCCCAUCCCCACCCCAUCUCCAUCCCUAAUGAGGGCCACUGGGAUCAUCUUGACCCCAUCCCAAUUCCCAUCCCCACUGGGGGGCACUGGGAUCGGCCCUGUCCCCACUGGGGGCACUGGGAUCGGUCCCGUCCCUGUCCCACCCCCAUAA
rnacentral:lncRNA from 1 species